AACGUAGGAGACAAACGUUAUCCGGAGUUACUGGGCGUAAAGGGCGUGUAGGUGGUUUCGUAAGUCUGGCGUGAAAUUUUUCGGCUUAACCGGGAAAGGUCGUCGGAUACUGCAGAACUAGAAGACGGUAGAGGCGUGUGGAAUUCCGGGUGUAGUGGUGAAAUGCGUAGAGAUCCGGAGGAACACCAGUGGCGAAGGCGACACGCUGGGCCGUACCUGACACUGAUGCGCGACAGCAUGGGGAGCAAACAGG
rnacentral:rRNA from 1 species